CAGGUCCAUCGUGGGACGAGAUUCUUCUUCCUCCUGGGAACGCUGUACCUGUACCGCUGGGUCACCAUGUACGUGACCACGCUGCCUGUGCCCGGCAUGCACAUUCAGUGCGCCCCCAAGAACCUGAAGGUCUCCUCACACACGAACUUCCUGUCCCGAGCCUGGUGGUUUCCUGUCUUCCAUUUCUUUGAGAAGAACAUCCAGGGCUCAGUCCCUUAGCGCUUUCUCCUGGCCGCUGUCCUGGCCUCCCGGCUGCUUCAAGUCGUGCGUGCAAAAAGUACUCCCGGGUGCAGAAGUCGGGCGAGGACAGUGAGAAGUCCACCUGAGCCACGGCCGUGCUCCACGCUGCAGCCAAAGACAGCUCCGUCCUUAUGCUGGAGAACUGACUGGAGGCGGAGCAGCCGUCCACACUGCAGGCUCGGGGGAGAUGAGGGGCGUAUUGAUUACCUCGAGAGGUCUCUGUCCCUCCUGAGGCCUGCCUCACUGGUGAUGGGACCUCAGCGGGCUGUACGGUGAGCUUGUUAAAGAGGUGCCAAAGACCCCAGACUCCUCUUUCUUCCCUGUCACUGAGCCCCACCUCUGCACUCCUUCAGGGCGUCCUCCUCACCGGGGUCAGCGGGAUUUGUUCAUGUUUUGAAUAAAAGAUCCGGGUCUAUGCAGCCACCGGGCACAGGGAAUCCCCCUGAGGAGAGGGGUCCUGGCCGGGACUGGGAGCUGAGUCCAAGUGCACUUUCUUUCCAACCUGGCGGGGGAGGAAGGUCGCAGUGGGUCCCCGGUGCCCUCGCUGCCACUUUGACUCUUUUCUGUUUUUUAUUUCUUUCAAAUGAAUCAUUUUGAAGAAAAAGAUCCAAAAGAAAUCUGAAAGUAUUUAAUCUAUCCAUGGAUUUAAAUGUAAUGUUCAUAUUUCAAUUUAAAAUCUUUAGGAUGUCCGGGUGUGGGGGUGCAUGCCUGUAAUCUCAGCACUCAGGGGGCUGAGGCAGGAGGGUCACUGCAAGUUCGAGGCUAGCCUGAACGAUAUAGCGAGCCCCUGUCUCAAAAAACCAAAACAGAAGUAAAUGAAUCUGGUUCACCAGAAGUACGAGGCUGUUUCACACACACAGCUGGAUGCUGCUGCCCGGGGCAUUUGCCUCCGGCUGGCACAGGCGGCAGCACCUGGUGCUGAGCACUCACACCAGGGACGAGAGAGCUGGCUGACCUCGGGGUGGGAUGCCUGGCUAGACCUCGGAAGGACCCGUGUGGGCUGCUUCCCUGCACACUGUUCCUCGCUGGCCACCCUGGGUGCUGCAGGCCGAGUGGAGUCGCAGGUUGAAGGUGUCCUGGCCAGUGGCUUCCCGGGCAGCCGCUGCAUGGGCGCCUUUCCCGGGUGGGGAGGCCGAAAGUGGACAACUGUUCCCGAAUGUCUGUCCAGAGAUGCCAAACAGAAGGUGGCUUUGAGGAUCUGGUCAGAUAGUACUGUCAGUUUCCUGCAUUACUCAGUGCGAUUGAAAUUUGUGGCUAAUUUCUGGCUUAAUGCCUUCACUCUGUGAACACUAAUUUCUAGGACUUGGGAGGUGAAAUUUCCCUAGAUUUAUCAUUACAAGCCUCUCAGCCUUGAUGACACAAGUUGACUUUUUUUUGCUUGCAAAAGGCACUAAACAGAUCUAUCCAGAAGGGUCAUUUUCCUUUGGUGCUAAAAUUCUGUCUGUCCCAAUGGCUCUUUCUCCACAUAAUAGAAGAAUCCCUCAAGGGAGGGUGGUUGAAUUCAAAGGCAGGAAGAAAAACUCUCCAAUCCGUUAUUUUAAACGAGAAAGAAACCUUCACCAUCUGUGGCUGACUUUGAAACCCAAGGAUUUUCCAAUGUUUUUAAAUAAAGCACUAAUCAACAUGUGUCUACCCUAGCUGGUAUGUUCAGGCCUAAUUCUAUAGAAUUUCCACCCCUGUGCAUUUACCCGAUGUUGACUCUUGUGGUAGAACAAGAUGUUCUGCUUGAAAACACUAAUUUCAGAUUCCUGUUGUCUGACUAAGGAAAUUCAUUGGACCUUGAAGCCCUGCGUCUGUAGCUCAAAACAAUCCACUGGACUUCAGGGUGUCCAGGUGACCCACUUUCCUGCCAUCGGGUGAGGGAAAGUGCUUAAGCUUUAAAGACCAUUGUGUAUUGAGGAUCAGACUCCCUCCAAAUGGGCAGCCUUGCACUGCAGCCAGCUCAUCCAGGGACAGGUAUAACCGUCUGCUCCUAAAGGGCCCGGGAACCCCGAGACCCUCCUGUGGGGCACAGCGGUCUGUGCCCCUGGUCUUGUGUCCUGGCUCUCUCUCACAGAUGCUGACGAAGAGGGUGGCGGGAUAAUAAAAGAGGAAAAUGUCCAGGUUUCAAGCAGAAGAAGAAAUGAGACUCAUUUACAUGUAGGAGAACAAACUUGAGAUUUAACCCCACGAGCCACUUUGGCAUGGAAAAAACCAAUUACAAUGUUGCCUUUGAAGCAGUAAAUUUUCAUGAUGCCUUUUCCUUGCCAAUUAAAAUACAGCUGUUACACGUGACCUAUGUUUUUGUAAUCUGUGCUCCUAGCGAAUCCUUUGAAAUGUCUGACACAUAAUGCUUAUAAAUUAAGCCACAUUUUUUUCCUGAACUCUUCCCAGUAGAAAUAAGUGCUCUCAGAUUCAAUUAUAUUUUAGCUCCUUCAUGAGAUUUAAGAAGAAAGUGUUCUUCUGCCAGUCCCGCCUGAAUUCAAUGUGAAUUUAUGGUUUAAUUUAGGGCGUCUUGGGAAACAGCCGUUGCUAUGGAAGGGAGCUUGGCGCUCCGGUUCUUGGGCGUGUUCUCAGAGCCCCCUUGUGGCAGGAUGUCACGCAGCUUGGGACACAAAUGCCACUUCGUAAAAUACGUGUUCAGGUUUCAAAAAGGCAUUUGUGUUUCUUUCCCUUUGUGUAUUCGCUUGAUUUGCCUGUGAUCCUGGGGAAGGAAUUAUUUUAAAGACAUUUUAAACCCUUCUCAAAGGGGAAAUGUUCUCGGAUGGUAGUGACUUGUGAUUCUGGCCUUUUAUCCGUUCGAUGAAGGAAAACGUGCCUACCGUGGUUACCUCUCAGGGUCUCAAUAAUUGAUGCCUCCUUAUGCCCACCGACACCUGUUUGCUGGGAAUCCCUGCCAGCUGUCUUUCUUACUUUUUUUUUUUUUAAUUUACAUGCUAGACGUCAUAGACUUUGUUUUUAAACCGAAAAUUCACAUCUUGUUCCUUGAAUAUGUUGAACAUUUCUUUUUUCUUUUGGCAUAAUUUUUGUUUUGUACUGUAAACUGAUUAAAGAUUUGAAGCUGGUCUUAACACCCUCACUUCUAUAGUGUAAAAGAGGUGUGAGGAGGAAUUUCUUAAUGAGUUUACAUGUUUAAAUCAAGCAGAUUAUAAUUUAUAUGCCACAUAUUCUGUUUGUAUAAAGAGCUGCUGGUAUUUUUGCUUUUAAUGUCAUUAUGUUGCAAUAAUUUAACUCCUUUGACUCCACUGGUAAAAAUAUUUCCUUUAUUAUGAAGUGCUCUUGUCUUCAAUAUCCAGACACUGAAAAUCGUGUCAAAUGUACCCAAAGAGGAGUUUUUAUACAGGUAGACACCUUAUAAGUCCAGGUUUGUUUUAUUAUUCAUUAAUCUAACUUUGUGUCCUAAGUGAAUCAUUAAGGAGAAGAGCACUUUACUAUGGAAUUAUUUUUAAUUGCCCUUUAGAAGAAGCUGUACACAUAAGCCAGUCUUGCUUCCAAGUUGGAACUCACUAUGUAAUUUACCUCCUCUGCGAUAAUGGAUCCAGAACAUACGGCUGGGGUACAGCAUAUUCACAAAAGAAAUAUUGUCACAAAGUUAGCGGGCCGGGGGCAAUUACUUUGUUUUGGAAACUUACUGUACUGUUUCAAUGUGUUAAGUGCCUUGUUAUGAAGUAAAAUUUUAAGUUUAGGAUUCAUUAUUUUCCUGACAUAUAUUUUCAUUAAGAUAUGUGCUGUAUGUUAUUGUAAUAGUUUUAUUAAAUGCUUACCUUUUAACCAAAUAUGUACAUUUCCGAAACUCCUUUCCUCCUGCCCACAGCACCUUGCAUUCAGGUUAUUGUUGUUAAAGGAAAUUACCCUUGUUUAGCACUAUAGUGUCCUUGCUUGUGCUUUUGCUUCUGGGAAGACAUUUCAGGAGGAAACUAGGGGUCUAACUAGUUUAUACUUUUGCAGUGCUGUCUUACAUUUACAUUUUAAGUGCCUAAAUGUUAAAACUAAUUUACAUUUCUAUUUGAAAGAGGAUAUGUGUACUUGGUUUUUAAUCUUUUUCGUUUUGCUUUUAAAAAAAACCAAACCUGCAAGAGCCUAUACUUUGUAUUUACCAAUAAACCACAGUGACACUAAC
ensembl:lncRNA